UACGGAGGAGGCAAGCGUUAUCCGGAAUUAUUGGGCGUAAAGCGUCCGUAGGUGGCUAUUCAAGUCUGCUGUCAAAGCUCGGAGCUUAACUCCGAAUCGGCGGUGGAAACUGAACAGCUAGAGUGCAGUAGGGGUAGAGGGAAUUCCCAGUGUAGCGGUGAAAUGCGUAGAGAUUGGGAAGAACACCGGUGGCGAAAGCGCUCUACUGGACUGCAACUGACACUCAGGGACGAAAGCUAGGGGAGCGAAUGGG
rnacentral:rRNA from 1 species